CUGAACUCUGAUAGGAAGUUCCUAGAAAACUUUAUCAAGAGGAAUCCAUUUCCUACAAAUCGGGAUUCGAAUGACUUCAAGACAGACAUAACGGACAUGGGCCGACAAGCCUUGGAAGAGUGGAAGACGCACCUGCCUCCUAAGGAAUUCUUGAAUUGGACUUGUGCAAAAUGUCCAUGUGAGCUCAACACUUGGCGCUAAUUUGCAGAAAGCCCGCGGCUAUCCUCCCGAAGCACCUGCUCCAACAAACAUAGGCAAUAUGGACAGAUGGAAGUCUUCCGUCAGGUGAUAUCACAUAGAACUGUGUUUGGUAUAUAAUGUGCCGGCUCGGAACAGGAGCAAAAGCUUCAGAGCUGCCCCUCUGCAGCUCAAGCAGCAACAUAAAGACUUGGAGCUUGAGGUUGGCGACCCCUCUCCUCCACCUCGUCUGGUUCCCACAACCCAGUGCAGAGCAGUCUGGGAGCUGGGCUUUGUAGCAUGUAGCUGUUCAAGAGGAGAGCUUCAAAUGGGCUUCAUACAAACCUCACGAAAGCUCGUUCGCUCAAAUGUCUGCAGUUCCUUUUCCAGUGUCGGCAACCUUGCGAAGCCUUCGAAGUUAUUUUCCCGGUCCAGACUCAGAAGUGACGCAUUACUAAGAAUUCUACACAUUCUGCGCAACAGGCCUCGAAUUCUCCAUUUGCUUGCUUUCAUGCUGAUUGUGUGCGGGUUAUCUCGACUGAGUGCCAAGACUACAAAGUGGAAGGGCGAGGAGUUUGGGGUUGUAGAGUUUCUGAAACAAGCGUAGCGAAGAUGGAUCCUUCAAGGUCGCAACUUUCAAGUUCAAACAAGAAUCAUAGUCGAAGUUUUUCGGAGUUAGUAAUCGUGCUCGCCAUUGCAAGUGUACAAUUGACAUGAGGUGGCAUCACCCUAACAAGUUUUGCAAAGGAAUGUGCCUUGCCGGUAGAGGGCGCAGCAUUAUUCCAUGACCUUGCGAAGAUGCACGAGGAUCCAAAUGCGGAACCUGAGAAACUAAACUGUGAGAAUAAGGAUUUCUCAGAAAAAUUUAUCCUUGCCAAACCACUUCCUGCAUCGCAGAACUUGGAGAAAAUAAAGACAGGAUUUAAGAAAUUGGGCCCGCAUGUCUUGGAAGCAUGGAAGACGGAUCUGGGUCCCGAGAAGUUUCAGAAGUGGGGAGCCCGCGGAUAUCCUCCUGAAGAACCUGCUUCAACAAACUUAGGCAACAUGGACACGGAUAGGUCUUCGAUUCUACAAGUGGCUUGUGAACAUGGGACUUUUAGUCGUAGGUCAAUUGGGGAGUUGACAAGUGUAGCUUCCCAGGCAUCGAGGAGUGAAGGGGUCUGCACAUGUGUGCAAUGGUUUCAUGGACUUAAAAGAACAUAAUUAUACUGUCUAUGGGUGAAGUUAAUUUUUAUCACAGUAAUGGCACAAUAAUAAUAAUAAUAAUAAUAGUUGAGAUUCUAUUUUUAUAGGAACUCCAUCAGUACGACUGUAUUCCCUCCAAUUUCCUUGGAGAUUCAGCUUCCUUUCGACGAAAUGUGCAGCAUGAUGUAAAUUGGCGAUCUUUACCACAGCUAAAUGAUUAACCAAGUUCACCAAA